rnacentral:rRNA from 1 species
UUGAACGCUGGCGGCAUGCCUUACACAUGCAAGUCGAACGGCAGCACGGGUGCUUGCACCUGGUGGCGAGUGGCGAACGGGUGAGUAAUACAUCGGAACAUGUCCUGUAGUGGGGGAUAGCCCGGCGAAAGCCGGAUUAAUACCGCAUACGAUCUACGGAUGAAAGCGGGGGACCUUCGGGCCUCGCGCUAUAGGGUUGGCCGAUGGCUGAUUAGCUAGUUGGUGGGGUAAAGGCCUACCAAGGCGACGAUCAGUAGCUGGUCUGAGAGGACGACCAGCCACACUGGGACUGAGACACGGCCCAGACUCCUACGGGAGGCAGCAGUGGGGAAUUUUGGACAAUGGGCGAAAGCCUGAUCCAGCAAUGCCGCGUGUGUGAAGAAGGCCUUCGGGUUGUAAAGCACUUUUGUCCGGAAAGAAAUCCUUGGCUCUAAUACAGUCGGGGGAUGACGGUACCGGAAGAAUAAGCACCGGCUAACUACGUGCCAGCAGCCGCGGUAAUACGUAGGGUGCGAGCGUUAAUCGGAAUUACUGGGCGUAAAGCGUGCGCAGGCGGUUUGCUAAGACCGAUGUGAAAUCCCCGGGCUCAACCUGGGAACUGCAUUGGUGACUGGCAGGCUAGAGUAUGGCAGAGGGGGGUAGAAUUCCACGUGUAGCAGUGAAAUGCGUAGAGAUGUGGAGGAAUACCGAUGGCGAAGGCAGCCCCCUGGGCCAAUACUGACGCUCAUGCACGAAAGCGUGGGGGAGCAAACAGGAUUAGAUACCCUGGUAGUCCACGCCCUAAACGAUGUCAACUAGUUGUUGGGGAUUCAUUUCCUUAGUAACGUAGCUAACGCGUGAAGUUGACCGCCUGGGGAGUACGGUCGCAAGAUUAAAACUCAAAGGAAUUGACGGGGACCCGCACAAGCGGUGGAUGAUGUGGAUUAAUUCGAUGCAACGCGAAAAACCUUACCUACCCUUGACAUGGUCGGAAUCCCGCUGAGAGGUGGGAGUGCUCGAAAGAGAACCGGCGCACAGGUGCUGCAUGGCUGUCGUCAGCUCGUGUCGUGAGAUGUUGGGUUAAGUCCCGCAACGAGCGCAACCCUUGUCCUUAGUUGCUACGCAAGAGCACUCUAAGGAGACUGCCGGUGACAAACCGGAGGAAGGUGGGGAUGACGUCAAGUCCUCAUGGCCCUUAUGGGUAGGGCUUCACACGUCAUACAAUGGUCGGAACAGAGGGUUGCCAACCCGCGAGGGGGAGCUAAUCCCAGAAAACCGAUCGUAGUCCGGAUUGCACUCUGCAACUCGAGUGCAUGAAGCUGGAAUCGCUAGUAAUCGCGGAUCAGCAUGCCGCGGUGAAUACGUUCCCGGGUCUUGUACACACC